CAAGUUUUAAAAAAUAAAAAUUAGUAAAAGAAAUCUAAUCAAACUUAAUCUAAAAGUUUAAGGCUAAUAUGAUAUUACAGUUAAAAAAACAAAAAAAAAAUUGCAAUAUAUAUAUUAAAAAAAUGCAAAAUCUUUGAUUGUCUACCAGUAAUUUACAUACUUUAUUUUACACAUCUUCAACGGAGGUCUGCAAGAAAGGGACGCUUUCAGUGGAGGAGUCUCCUGAGUUAGCACAGCCAUGACGCUCACUUAAUUUUCCUUCAUUUGCUUUUCCCCAUAAAACAGCACAAAUCCCCAUUGAUAUUACUAGAGCUCCAAUGAUUAUUCCAAGGUGGAGAGGAUCCCCGAGGAAUAUGACACGCACGAAAGCUGCAAUAGCGAUUGACAAUGGCUUGAAUAUUGCUAUAUAGACAGGCCCCUUCUGUCGUAACCCCCAUGAGCGAACUGCGGUUUUGUAGCAUGUCCCAAAUAUUCCCGAGGAUACAAUAGCAACUAAUGCUAUAUCAGGUCUCAGACGCAACGCAUCCAAGUUCUUUUCAGCAACAAAACAAACUGGUGCAGAUAUGAUGGUGACAGACAAUGUGUAAAUGAAGGUCACAAGUAGCUCUUUUGAACAAAUCUUCAUAAUAUGAGUCUGAAGAAUGUUCCAAAACGCAUGCAGAAGGUAUAGUGUAGCAAGUAAGAGGCCACCAAUAAGCCAAUCUGAAUUUGGUGAGCCCAUAGGCCAAUCAAGUGAAUUGGCCUGUCUUGGAAAUGGAUAUAGAGUGGAUAAAAUUUUUGGGCCUCUGUAAAGAUCCACCACUAAUGCCCCUCCUAUUGCUGUUAAGGUUCCAAUCACCUUAGCUUGCGUGCUUGAGCAUCUUAUCACUAGCUUUUCCCUCCUGAAAAUGACGGCAAAAGCGAAGGUGAAAACUGGUGUUAGGUUGCUCAUGGCUGAAGCAAAAGUUGGAGAACUGUAUUUUAUAGCAUUAUUUCCAACAAUCUGAGCUAAAAACCUGCCUUAACAUUUAUUAAUGGUUAUAUUAAUCUCUCUGAUCAUUGAUGGACAAUAGAAGUUUGAAUUAAUUAUUUGAUAGAUGGUUCUAUACCCAAUAAACGCAAGAAUCCAGAUCCUAAAGAGAAGAGGAAGCUUGAGUGAAGAACGCACUGGGAUGCUGCAUAUGCCAAAAAUACAGAUAGAGAUACAUGUAGCUGGAGAGUAAGUCAGUGCAGAACUUAACUUGGACUUGGACUAAUGAAAUAUUAAUUCAUAAAAAAAAAAAGGAUCAAUUUAUAGGAGAUAGAGAGAGACCUGCGAAAGAAGAAGGGUACAGGGAUGAGAAGAAGAGAUGCAGUUGCGUAGGAGUAAACGAUGAAGACAUGGUAGCUCAGCCUUUUCGAAGAGGCUGCUUUGAAUAGAAUAUUCACACCCACAUUAGCGCAUUCCACUGAACCCAGGGCUACGAAUGGCAGAAAAUCCUCGUAUAAAAAGCUCCAGGCCAUUUCUCCUCCACAAUUCUUG
rnacentral:misc_RNA from 1 species